CAGCAGCCGCGGUAAUACAGAGGGUGCAAGCGUUAAUCGGAAUUACUGGGCGUAAAGCGCGCGUAGGUGGUUCGCCAAGUUGGAUGUGAAAUCCCCGGGCUCAACCUGGGAACUGCAUCCAAAACUGGCGAGCUAGAGUAUGGUAGAGGGUGGUGGAAUUUCCUGUGUAGCGGUGAAAUGCGUAGAUAUAGGAAGGAACAUCAGUGGCGAAGGCGACCACCUGGACUGAUACUGACACUGAGGUGCGAAAGCGUGGGGAGCAAACAGGAUUAGAUACCCGUGUAGUCCCUGUCUCUUAUAC
rnacentral:rRNA from 1 species